rnacentral:sRNA from 1 species
UGUUGUAGGUGACGCAAGAAUUGUGAC